rnacentral:rRNA from 1 species
UGGAGCAUGUGGUUAAUUCGAAGCAACGCGAAGAACCUUACCAGGUCUUGACAUCCCUGACAACCCGAGAGAUCGGGCGUUCCCCCUUCGGGGGACAGGGUGACAGGUGGUGCAUGGUUGUCGUCAGCUCGUGUCGUGAGAUGUUGGGUUAAGUCCCGCAACGAGCGCAACCCUCGACCUUAGUUGCCAGCAUUCAGUUGGGCACUCUAAGGUGACUGCCGGCUAAAAGUCGGAGGAAGGUGGGGAUGACGUCAAAUCAUCAUGCCCCUUAUGACCUGGGCUACACACGUGCUACAAUGGGCGGUACAAAGGGUCGCGAACCCGCGAGGGGGAGCCAAUCCCAAAAAGCCGCUCUCAGUUCGGAUUGCAGGCUGCAACUCGCCUGCAUGAAGCCGGAAUCGCUAGUAAUCGCGGAUCAGCAUGCCGCGGUGAAUACGUUCCCGGGCCUU